AGUGAUCCUGGGGCUGAAGUGGGGCAUCGCCAGGCGCACAGGGCCACUUCAGAGAGCUGGUGUGGCAGGGCAGCGGCGAGAUGGGGCUCGGGUGAGCGCGAGAACCGGCGCAAAGCAAGCCUGAAAAGGGUGAGGAGACCCCGGCCUGCCGACCACCUGUUCCUCCUGGGAGUGCGGCGCGCGUUGAUUGGCUGGAGUGCCGACCGGGUACCGGAAGUGGCUGAUGCCCAUAGCCAGUGAAACCCAGACAACAGCUGCGGGUUCUGAGGCAGCGGGCGGAGCAGCGCGGGGAGCCCGCGGGGAGCGCGUGUGGGGCGGUAGCUGCCUGAGAUUGUGAGAUGGGGACUGAGAACAAGGAGACAGUGUUUUCAUCGGUGGACCCAACUUUGCCGGCACCGACACCGACGAAACUCUAAGUCAUCGAACGCGCUCGGCCACCACUGCCUCCGGGACCAAGAGGUACUGAUAAGAGCCUCGUCGAGCCCUGAGGCUGGGGCCGCUCUCGGAAGCCUGGGGACCCUUGUCCGUGCGCCACCUGGCGGGCGGGGGCGGGCCGGGGCGGCGCGCGGCGUGAUUGGUCGAGGCCCGGGGUGCCUUUUUGCUGGUGACCGGUGGGGGCCGGAGGCUGAGGUGGGAGGGCCCCGAGAGUGGGCUACUGCGCGCUGCUGACCCCGAAGUCAAGUACUGGGGCGCCCGCCGGACGGGACCUGGGCUGGCGUCUCUCAGGCCGCCGUGAUUUGUCGUUUGUGAGGACGUUUCACAUCCCAGGGUGGGAUCUAUUCCGCCGUUCCCUGAUGUUCAUGGAGUCCUUGCCGCCGCCCGGUUUCUUUCGAACUUCCAACCAGGCCUAUUAAGAUACUUAUCUAAUAACUAAUUAUUAAAAUUUAAUUUAGUGGCAGUGGGAAAGGACAUACUCAAGGUACAGAGGGCAGGUUUGGCUUCAGAAAGAAGGAAGAAAGCACUGUCCUCUGAGGCUGGUGGAGGAACUGAGACGACAGAUGUGGAGGGAAUGAGCGCAGGGUGGCCAGCAGAGUUGAUUAUUUGAGGCCUUUUGCUAAGAAGGGUGAUUAUGCAUUGGAGUGGGCAGAUUACCCAAAACAUCAUCUAGAAAGGAGAAAAAUGCUUCUGUGCCCCUGAUCUGCUGGUUAUGUUGGCAUUCUCUGAGCUGGGUUGUGGUGGGGACAGGGUGGAACUUUAGUCACAGGAGGACUAUAAUCCACACUCCACUCCAUUGACUCCCAAGUGGGAGGAAUCCCAGGAGUGCAGCGAAUGUGGGAAAGACCCGAGAGGUCUUCAUGCGGUCGGGUGGAGCUGAGAUUCUCUGCAUCAGAGAGUUCACACUGGUGAGCAACCCUGCUAAUGUAAUGAAUUCCACCUUCAGACAGAAUUCCCACCUUGGAGUUCAUCAGAAAACUUGUACUGGAGAGGCCCUUGGAAUACCAAUGCGGAAAAGCCUCUGAUCAGAACUCUCACCAGUUUCAGCAUCAGAGCAUCCACAGUGCACAGCGAUCUGGGGAUUUACUCACUGUAGGACACUUUCAUUCCGACCUGAAACUUUGCUCUGAUCUUUCCUCUUCUUUACCGAUGUCACUAGACUGGAAAUGCCCUUUGUGCCAGCUAAUUUUGUCCUGCUCCUUGAGGACAGGGCUACCUUGUUGUAGAAGAGCGUAUCGCAUUCAGCCCAGGGUUGCCACUCAAAAAUUAACCAGUGAAUGAAUUAAAUAAAUAAGAGGCCAUAAAUGAUGAAUUGGACAUUUCAAAUUUAAUUAACUGAAUGUAGAAUCAUAAUGCCUUUGCUGUCCUUUAUUUUUCUAUGCAGAUCCUUUAUCCCCUAAAAUGAUGGCCACGGCAUUAAAGGUCUAUAUCACCCAUCUAAUAUAAAUUAUAUCUCUUUAUGUGAUAUGGGGACACGUAAAAUGUUAAACAGUUGAACCAAAACCUUUCUUUAGCUGAGAGAAUUGAUCCACUAUACGAUUUACUCAAAUACAAGAUAGCCACAGAUUGCCUUAAACACACCUCUUUUCCUUGCAACUUUCAGCACUGGAACAAAACAAAACCCAAAUCAGAUACUUCACCUGUACCAUCCUCAAAAUCUUUCUUUCAUAAGAGGCUUUGUUUACUUCUUGAUCUCGUUUCUGUUUUUAUACAUUAUUUCCAUCUUCUUGGAUAUAUUAUAUUUUUUUCUUCAUGUGAGCUAUAUCUUAAAUGUAUUUGCUGGGAUUCAGUAUUCUUAUUUUUGCAGCUGCUUCAGCAUCAUCACAGGCUUAUGUUUUCUUCAUAUGUAGUAGUAUGCUCAGGAUAAUCUUGAAAAUUAGUUGCUCUUGUGUGUUUUGUUUUGUUUUGUUUUUUUGGCUGAGCCACAUAGCUUGUGGGAUCUUAGUUCCCUGAGCAGGGGUUGAACCUGGGCCCUCAACAGUGAAAGCGUGGAGUCCUAACCACUGGAUGGCCAGGGAAUUCCUUGAAAAUUAGUUUUUAAAUGACUUGUUAUUGAAAGGAUUAGAAUCUAUUGCAGGACAAACCAUAUGUUGGGAGCCUCACUAUCUACAGCAGAACCCUGCCAGGCUGGAUGUUCUGUCCAUUGAAUACAGGCAAUGCCUCUUUAACUCCUUUCUUUCUUUCUUUCUUUCUUCCUUUCUCCCUUCCUUCCUCCUUCCUCCUUUCUU